rnacentral:rRNA from 1 species
GGUUAAGUUAGAAAGGGCGCACGGUGGAUGCCUUGGCACUAGGAGCCGAAGAAGGACGGGACUAACACCGAUAUGCUUUGGGGAGCUGUACGUAAGCGUUGAUCCAGAGAUUUCCGAAUGGGGGAACCCACUAUCUUUAGUCGGAUAGUAUCCUUACGUGAAUACAUAGCGUGAGGAAGGCAGACCCAGGGAACUGAAACAUCUAAGUACCUGGAGGAAGAGAAAGAAAAAUCGAUUUCCUGAGUAGCGGCGAGCGAAACGGAAAGAGCCCAAACCAAGAAGCUUGCUUCUUGGGGUUGUAGGACACUCUAUACGGAGUUACAAAAGAAAGUUAUAAAUGAAGCGGUCUGGAAAGGCCCGCCAAAGACGGUAACAGCCCGGUAGUUGAAAUGGCUUUCCCUCCAGAGUGGAUCCUGAGUACGGCGGAACACGUGAAAUUCCGUCGGAAUCCGGGAGGACCAUCUCCCAAGGCUAAAUACUCCCUAGUGACCGAUAGUGAACCAGUACCGUGAGGGAAAGGUGAAAAGCACCCCGGAAGGGGAGUGAAACAGUUCCUGAAACCGUGUGCCUACAAGUAGUUAGAGCCCGUUAAUGGGUGAUAGCGUGCCUUUUGUAGAAUGAACCGGCGAGUUACGAUUUGUUGCAAGGUUAAGCGGAAAAAGCGGAGCCGUAGCGAAAGCGAGUCUGAAUAGGGCGCAUAAGUAACAGGUCGUAGACCCGAAACCAGGUGAUCUACCCAUGUCCAGGAUGAAGGUAAGGUAAUACUUACUGGAGGUCCGAACCCACGCACGUUGAAAAGUGCGGGGAUGAGGUGUGGGUAGCGGAGAAAUUCCAAUCGAACUUGGAGAUAGCUGGUUCUCUCCGAAAUAGCUUUAGGGCUAGCCUCGAGGUAAAGAGUCAUGGAGGUAGAGCACUGUUUGGACUAGGGGCCCUUCUCGGGUUACCGAAUUCAGAUAAACUCCGAAUGCCAUGUACUUAUACUCGGGAGUCAGACUGCGAGUGAUAAGAUCCGUAGUCGAAAGGGAAACAGCCCAGACCACCAGUUAAGGUCCCCAAAUAUAUGUUAAGUGGAAAAGGAUGUGGGGUUGCUUAGACAACCAGGAUGUUGGCUUAGAAGCAGCCACCAUUGAAAGAGUGCGUAAUAGCUCACUGGUCGAGUGACCCCGCGCCGAAAAUGUACCGGGGCUAAACAUAUUACCGAAACUGUGGAUGAACCUCUUUAGAGGUUCGUGGUAGGAGAGCGUUCUAAGGGCGGUGAAGUCAGACCGGAAGGACUGGUGGAGCGCUUAGAAGUGAGAAUGCCGGUAUGAGUAGCGAAAGAAGGGUGAGAAUCCCUUCCACCGAAUAUCUAAGGUUUCCUGAGGAAGGCUCGUCCGCUCAGGGUUAGUCGGGACCUAAGCCGAGGCCGAUAGGCGUAGGCGAUGGACAACAGGUAGAGAUUCCUGUACCAGUGCUAAUUGUUUAACCGAUGGGGUGACACAGAAGGAUAGGGAAUCGCACGAAUGGAAAUGUGCGUCCAAGCAGUGAGUGUGAGAAGUAGGCAAAUCCGCUUCUCACNNNNNNNNNNNNNNNNNNNNNNNNNNNNNNNNNNNNNNNNNNNNNNNNNNNNNNNNNNNNNNNNNNNNNNNNNNNNNNNNNNNNNNNNNNNNNNNNNACGAAGCAUGAGCUGUGAUGGGGAAGGAAAUUAAGUACGGAAGUUCCUGAUUUCACGCUGUCAAGAAAAGCCUCUAGGAAGAGUAGUACUGCCCGUACCGCAAACCGACACAGGUAGAUGAGGAGAGAAUCCUAAGGUGAGCGAGAGAACUCUCGUUAAGGAACUCGGCAAAAUGACCCCGUAACUUCGGGAGAAGGGGUGCUCUAUUAGGGUGCAAGCCCGAGAGAGCCGCAGUGAAUAGGCCCAGGCGACUGUUUAGCAAAAACACAGGUCUCUGCAAAACCGUAAGGUGACGUAUAGGGGCUGACGCCUGCCCGGUGCUGGAAGGUUAAGAGGAGUGCUUAGCUUCGGCGAAGGUACGAAUUGAAGCCCCAGUAAACGGCGGCCGUAACUAUAACGGUCCUAAGGUAGCGAAAUUCCUUGUCGGGUAAGUUCCGACCCGCACGAAAGGCGCAACGAUCUGGGCACUGUCUCAACGAGAGACUCGGUGAAAUUAUAGUACCUGUGAAGAUGCAGGUUACCCGCGACAGGACGGAAAGACCCCGUGGAGCUUUACUGCAACCUGAUAUGGAAUGUUUGUACCGCUUGUACAGGAUAGGUAGGAGCCGAAGAGACGUGUGCGCUAGCAUACGAGGAGGCAAUGGUGGGAUACUACCCUGGCUGUAUGACCAUUCUAACCCGCCACGCUUAGCGCGUGGGGAGACAGUGUCAGGUGGGCAGUUUGACUGGGGCGGUCGCCUCCUAAAGAGUAACGGAGGCGCCCAAAGGUUCCCUCAGAAUGGAUGGAAAUCAUUCGCAGAGUGUAAAGGCACAAGGGAGCUUGACUGCGAGACUGACAAGUCGAGCAGGGACGAAAGUCGGGCUUAGUGAUCCGGUGGUUCCGCAUGGAAGGGCCAUCGCUCAACGGAUAAAAGCUACCCCGGGGAUAACAGGCUUAUCUCCCCCAAGAGUCCACAUCGACGGGGAGGUUUGGCACCUCGAUGUCGGCUCGUCGCAUCCUGGGGCUGUAGUCGGUCCCAAGGGUUGGGCUGUUCGCCCAUUAAAGCGGCACGCGAGCUGGGUUCAGAACGUCGUGAGACAGUUCGGUCCCUAUCCGUCGCGGGCGCAGGAAAUUUGAGAGGAGCUGUCCUUAGUACGAGAGGACCGGGAUGGACACACCGCUGGUGUACCAGUUGUUCCGCCAGGAGCAUCGCUGGGUAGCUAUGUGUGGCAGGGAUAAACGCUGAAAGCAUCUAAGCGUGAAGCCCCCCUCAAGAUGAGAUUUCCCAUUUCUUCGGAAAGUAAGAUCCCUGAAAGAUGAUCAGGUAGAUAGGUUUGGAGUGGAAGUGUAGCGAUACAUGGAGCGGACAAAUACUAAUCGAUCGAGGACUUAACCAA